rnacentral:rRNA from 1 species
GACGAACGCUGGCGGCGUGCUUAACACAUGCAAGUCGAACGGAAAGGCCCUGCUUUUGGGUUGUUCUCGAGUGGCGAACGGGUGAGUAACACGUGAGUAACCUGCCCUUGACUGGGGGAUAACUUCAGGAAACUGGGGCUAAUACCGGAGAGGAACUCCUGCAGCAUGGUGGGGGUGGGAAAGUGUCGGCGGGUGGGGCUGUACUCGCGGCUGAUCAGCUUGUUUGUGGGGUAGUGGCGUACCAAGGCUUUGACGGGUAGCCCGCAUGAGAGGGUGACCGGGCACAUUGCGCCUACGAUACGGAGCAGUCUGGUACGGGAGGCAGUAGUGGGGAAUCUUGCACAGUGGGGGGACGCGUGAUGAAGAAACGCUGCGUGCGGGAUGAACGCCUUCGGGUUGUAAACCGAUUUAGCCUGUGACGAAGAGUGAGUGACGGUAAUGGGUAAAGAAGCACCGGCUAACUACGUG